rnacentral:rRNA from 1 species
UGAGGAAUAUUGGUCAAUGGGUGCAAGCCUGAACCAGCCAUCCCGCGUGAAGGACGACUGCCCUAUGGGUUGUAAACUUCUUUUGUAUAGGGAUAAACCUACCCUCGUGAGGGUAGCUGAAGGUACUAUACGAAUAAGCACCGACUAACUCCGUGCCAGCAGCCGCGGUAAUACGGAGGGUGCAAGCGUUAUCCGGAUUUAUUGGGUUUAAAGGGUCCGUAGGCGGACUUAUAAGUCAGUGGUGAAAGCCUGUCGCUUAACGAUAGAACUGCCAUUGAUACUGUAAGUCUUGAGUAUAUUUGAGGUAGCUGGAAUAAGUAGUGUAGCGGUGAAAUGCAUAGAUAUUACUUAGAACACCAAUUGCGAAGGCAGGUUACCAAGAUAUAACUGACGCUGAGGGACGAAAGCGUGGGGAGCGAACA